rnacentral:rRNA from 1 species
GUGAUGGUAUAGUCCACUUGGUAAUUUGUUAAUCAAAUGGCCAGCAGCAGCGGUAAUACGAGGACCUCAAGCGUUAUCCGGAUUUAUUGGGCGUAAAGCGCGUGUAGGUGGUUCGGUAAGUCGGUUGUAAAAUUCCACUGCUCAACGGUGGGCUCGCAACGGAAACUGCCAAACUAGAGGACGUUAGAGGGGAGUGGAACGUACGGUGUAGGGGUGAAAUCCGUUGAUAUCGUACGGAACACCAAAGGCGAAGGCAUCUCCCUGGGGCGUUUCCUGACACUAAGACGCGAAAGCUAGAGGAGAGAAGCAGAUUAGAUACCUGCGUAUUUCUAGCUGUAAAUGUUGUCCGCUAGCCGUUUCGAGUGUCGACCCUCGGAGUGGCGAAGCUAACGCAUUAAGCGGACCGCCUGGGAAGUACGAGCGCAAGCUUAAAACUCAAAGGAAUAGACGGGGGCUCGCACAAGCGGUGGAGCAUGUGGUUUAAUUCGACGCUACGCGAGGAACCUUACCAGGGCUUGACAUGUUAGUGACUGCCCGCCGAAAGGCAGGCUUCCCGACUUUUAGUUGGGCACUAUCACAGGUGGUGCACGGCUGUCGUCAGCUCGUGUGGUGACACGUUCCCUUAAGUGGGGUAACGAGCGAAACCCCUACUCUGUGUUAUAUGUAUCACAGAGGACUGCCAUCUUAUAGAUGGAGGAAGGCGGGGAUGACGCCAAGUCAGCGUGCCCUUUAUGCCCUGGGCGACACACAUGCUACAAUGGUCGAUACAACGGGUUGCUAAACCGCAAGGUGGAGCUAAUCCUUUAAAAUCGGCCUCAGUUCGGAUUGGAGGCUGCAACUCGCCUCCAUGAAGUUGGAAUCGCUAGUAAUCGCGAAUCAGCCAUGUCGCGGUGAAUACGUUCUCGAGCCUUGUACUCGGGUCGCCGUGCGAUUAUGUAAGCUAGUUGGUGUAAAUCCAACCGGAAUAAGAUACAGUGUUCCGAAGCGAAAUCUCAGCUCUGAAUCCGCGAGGAUUGGAGUGAAGGGAGAAA